ACCAGCAGGAGUUUUAACUAAUUGGCAUUGGUAUUCUCACAGAUCCUAAUUAGCACAGCAAAAGACUGAAGCCUUUUGCUGGAUGAGGGGGAGAAAGUCACUGACAAGAAGCUGAGGAAAGAGCUAGUUCUUCACCUCAUGUCCAGUUAACACUGUGGAUUUAUGGAGUGGAUUUGCCCAACCUUGCAGGUGGAGAGAGGGGACAUGACUCUGAUGCAGUGAAUCCAAAGGGAACACUUUAUUCAGUCUUCUGGACACUGGUUCUUCCUUAUUUCCCUGAUUUGCUGAAAUAGCCUGCGCUGCCUACAGUCACCACAUGAAGUCUCCCUAAAUCUUGGCAGGAACCACUGGAAGCUACUGGAUGGAAUAUCAAGCCUGUUCAGGUAGGAGGCUAUUGUGCAGGUGGAGAAGCAAAUAGAAGCGUGGCUCCUGAGCAUGCUGUAUUGCCAGUGAGGAAGGGGAAGCCAAACAUCAUCAUGGAAAGAUAACCCUUCAACACACCAGUGCCUCAUUUUUCUGUGGGGUUUAUACACCACACAACCUAUUAGCACUGCCACCAUCAAAAUUUCCCUCCAAUUAGCAUCAGUCAGGAGCUCUGCUAAAUUAAUUUAAUGGAGAUUCCUGGGGCUUCUGUCCAGUGGUUCUUAACCUUUGCUGCAGCCUGCACCCCUUUGGUUCUCAAAAUAUGUUCUCGCACCCCUUAUCAAAAAAUGUUCUCGCACUCCUUAUCAAAAGUAGGUCAGUUCUUUAAACCUAGAUAUAUUUUUGUUUGUAUAUUACAGUAAUUAUUUAAAAAUGUAUAAUGUUAAUAAAUACAUAGGUUUGAUGAAA